GGCCCGGUGGUAUAGUUUGUUAACACAUCAGUCUACCAAACCGAGGCUCUUUCGAAUGGCCUCAUCUCGUUCACUGAAGGUCUCCGGUUCAAGUCCGGGCCAGAUAA